CACCGCUUGUCUCGACACCAUAGAGGGGCUUGAGAAGAUGCCCUUUGAAGAGGUGGUAUCGUCUCUGUGCCCGGCAGCCAGCCCUAGGUGCUGACCCGUCCCCGGGGCGAGGGACGGGACGGCGGUUCGAGGCUGCCCAUCCUUCACUUUGCCGGGAGGAACCUUCUGUGAAGGACGGACCUCGUGGAGACGGAUCUGCGGGAGACCGGAGAGAUACCGCCUGUCUUCAAAGAGCAUCUCCGCGGCCUCCUUCCCAAUAGUGUUAACUCUGCAUUUUUACGGCGUAGCAUAAUCAUUGAUCCUCUCACGCCCGGCGGUCGCUUCCUGAGGCCUGGGAGAGGCUGCGCGAAGCUGUGAAUGUCUGAGACCCGGGAGCUCGAGGGACCUCGCCGCCCCCCGAGGUCUCGCUAGCCUCCGUCACGGUCGAGGCCGGGUUGCGGCGGGGGGGACCGCAGAAGUCCCUCGGGCUCUGUUUUCAUAAAAGGUGCUAAUUCUUGGGAUGGGUGGGAGAUGGCGGCGGGGGAGAAGACGCCCGCCCGCCGCCUCCCGCCCGUUCCGACUUUUUAAUCUCUGUUACGGAACGAGGACGGGGAGAGGAAAUCCCAGAUUCCCCCCGGGGGGUGGGGUAGGAUUGGGGUCUCAAUCCUAGAGCUUGGCUGGUCUGGGCCCGCGAUGAGUUGGCGGGUUUUAUCACUAACAGCACAAGUUUCAUCAAAUCUACGGACGAAGCGAAUGAUUUCCGUCACCCUGGGGCGAUGGUUUGUUUUUUUUUUUUAAAAAAAAAAAACUUUGACUUAAAAAUUAAAAAAAAAAAAACUGCCCAAAAACGCUUCAUGUCGUGAAUCAUGAAAUCCACCAGUUCUCGACAUCCUCCAGGAUGGUACAGCAGAGCUGCGUUGUAAAGACUCUUUUUUUUUUUUUUUUAAAGAAGCAUGUGUUCAGGUUUCCGUGAAGACUUUGUUUAAAUGUAAAGUAAGCGUUGGAUUUUAACUUCAUACCGAGCUCCGUCCGUUUUUUUUUUGUCUUAAUAAAAAUUUAGAUUUAUAAUCCCCGA